GCGGUAAUAGCUCAGUUGGUAGAGCACUAGCUUCCCAAGCUGGGGGUCGCGGGUUCGAACCCCGUUUACCGCU
rnacentral:tRNA from 1 species